rnacentral:rRNA from 1 species
GUGAGGAAUUUUCCGCAAUGGGCGAAAGCCUGACGGAGCAAUGCCGCGUGAAGGAUGAAGGCCUAUGGGUUGUAAACUUCUUUUCUUAGAGAAGAAUAUUGACGGUAUCUGAGGAAUAAGCAUCGGCUAACUCUGUGCCAGCAGCCGCGGUAAGACAGAGGAUGCAAGAGUUAGCCGGAAUGAGUGGGCGUAAAGCGUCUGUAGGUGGCUUCAAAAGUCUCCUGUCAAAGAUCAGGGCUUAACCCUGGGCCGGCAGGGGAAACUCUGAGGCUAGAGUUUGGUAGAGGCAGAGGGAAGACCCGGUGGAGCGGAGAGAUGCGUAGAGAACGGGAGGAACACCAAAGGCGAAAGCACUCUGCUGGGCCACAACUGACACUGAGAGACGAAAGCGAGGGGAGCAAAAGGGAUUAGAUACCCUAGUAGUCC